CCUACGGGUGUGCUGCAGUGGGGAAUAUUGGACAAUGGGCGAAAGCCUGAUCCAGCCAUGCCGCGUGUGUGAAGAAGGCCUUCGGGUUGUAAAGCACUUUCAGUGGGGAAGAAAGCCUUGGGGCUAAUACCCUCGAGGAAGGACAUCACCCACAGAAGAAGCACCGGCUAACUCCGUGCCAGCAGCCGCGGUAAUACGGAGGGUGCGAGCGUUAAUCGGAAUUACUGGGCGUAAAGCGCGCGUAGGCGGUCUGAUAAGCCGGUUGUGAAAGCCCCGGGCUCAACCUGGGAACGGCAUCCGGAACUGUCAGGCUAGAGUGCAGGAGAGGAAGGUAGAAUUCCCGGUGUAGCGGUGAAAUGCGUAGAGAUCGGGAGGAAUACCAGUGGCGAAGGCGGCCUUCUGGACUGACACUGACGCUGAGGUGCGAAAGCGUGGGUAGCAAACAGGAUUAGAUACCCUAGUAGUC
rnacentral:rRNA from 1 species